CUGCGAAUAUUCUCACUGUAUUGAUUUUGUAAUAAUCGGCACAGGCUAAACAUUCUCUGCACUAAGAACAUGCAUGUGUCCCCAGACCUAGGUCUUUCCCUAGGCCUGUUUUUAUAAAUGCUGGUGAUAAAC
ensembl:snoRNA SNORA72 Small nucleolar RNA SNORA72